rnacentral:lncRNA from 1 species
GCAACCACAAAAAUGCUGGAAGCCGCGGGGCUCGGCCGUUAACCCUUGGGACGUGCGGGCCCGGGAAGAGGGGGGGUGGAGGAGGGAAGUGGGGAGGCUCCCCGGGAACGAGCACGGGACGGCGCCUCCGUGGGGAGCCCCAGCUGCCCCCCCCCUCCCCCCCGUCAUCCCGAGGGCACGAGUGGCAAGAGAAGACUCUGCCCCUCCCCCUAAGAGGGAGAGGGCUCUUCCUCCUCAGUGGCCUCUAGAGACACACCUGGAGCCAGCCCCGGGCGGAGUGAGGCUGCUCGGCCCGCUGGAGGUCACUGAAUCCGGGUUCAAGGGACCCCAGAAUAAUUUGCCCAUUAUCCAAGAAUUAGGCUAAAAAUGUUGUGCAGCUGAGGGAAACCUGCGCCCAGGACCCGCUCUGGAGGCCACCGGGGAGCGGGGCCGCAGACUUGGAAGGAAGAGGCUGAGACCGUGGGCACAGGAGCCCGUGGGCACAGGAGCCCAUGGGCACAGGAGCCUGGAGGAGAAGGUCGGAGGGUCCCAGCCCCCUGUAACUGAGGACUAGAGGGGGAAGGGGCUCUCCCGGGGCAGGAAGGGAGGAGGGAGGACGUGGCUCCGGGUCUUUGGACGCCAAAGCCAGGCCUUGUCCCGGCAGAUGGCCUCUGAAGGCCAAGGCUGGCCCGGGAGGGCCUCUUCUUCGCCUGGACUCUGUGCUCAGCCUCUCCCUCAGCUGACCAGCAGCCACAACCACAUGAGCCGGACUCUCCAGAACCAACCACCGGCCCUGCCAUUAUAGGCUCCCCACCGACCCCGCUCCGAGCCUGGCCACUGGGAGGACCAAGGAGGGGCAUUGGAACGGAUGGGCAGCUCCAGGAUGGUGGAGAUGUUGGGGGAACAGCUUCCAGGGCUGAGGAGGAAGAGCAGUAGCGGGCACAACUCUGUCACGAGGCACAUCUGUCAGGUGCUCCCGGUGGGAAAGCAGGAAGCGGCCCAUUCAAGAACUGGGAGCCACACUGAGCCAGCAGAUGGAGGCCAGGACAGAUGACAGCCCAGGAACAGAGAGAUGGGCACCCAGAGGAGCA